UGGUCCUAACCUUACAGUCAAUUCUUACUUAACUUACACAUGCAAGUCUCCGCACCCCUGUGAAAACGCCCUUACACUCCCCAAUAGGAUUGAGGAGCCGGUAUCAGACAUAACCACCAACCCAAGACACCUAGCCAUGCCACAUCCACACGGAAAUUCAGCAGUGAUUAAUAUUGAGAAUAAGCGACAGCUUGACUCAGUUAAAGUAAAAAGAGCCGGCAAAUCUGGUGCCAGCCGCCGCGGUUACACCACGUGGCUCAAAUUGACCCCCCUCGGCGUAAAGCGUGAUUAAAGUUAAUAAAAUUAGAGCCAAAUUUAGACCAAGCUGUAGCACGCUUGUACUUAAGAAGCCCAAAAACGAAAGUUACUAUAAUUAAAACAACUUGAACCCACGACAGUCCGGACACAAACUGGGAUUAGAUACCCCACUAUGCCCUACCGUAAACCUUAAAUUACAUCUUCAUCGCCCGGGAACUACGAGCAAAGCUUAAAACCCAAAGGACUUGACGGUACCCCAUAUCCACCUAGAGGAGCCUGUCCUAUAAUCGAUAACCCCCGUUUAACCUCACCACUUUUAGCCUUACAGUCUGUAUACCUCCGUCGUCAGCUUACCUCGUGAGCGACCCUAAGUAAGCUUAAUGUCCGUACAUCAACACGUCAGGUCAAGGUGCAGCAAAUAUAGUGGGAAGAGAUGGGCUACACUCUCUAUUUUAGAGCACACGAAAAACUAUUUAUGAAACCUAGUUAGAAGGAGGAUUUAGCAGUAAAAAGAGACUAGAGAGCUCUUUUUAACACGGCACUGGGGUGUGUACACACCGCCCGUCACCCUCUUCGAAGCCAAUAAAAAGUACAUAACACCUUAAGCCCAAGAGAAGAGACAAGUCGUAACAUGGUAAGCGUACCGGAAGGUGUGCUUGGAAA
rnacentral:ncRNA from 1 species